UGGAAGUAAAAGUCGUAACAAGGUUUCCGUAGGUGAACCUGCGGAAGGAUCAUUACUGAUUUGCUUAAUUGCACCACAUGUGUUUUUCUUUGAAACAAACUUGCUUUGGCGGUGGGCCCAGCCUGCCGCCAGAGGUCUAAACUUACAACCAAUUUUUUAUCAACUUGUCACACCAGAUUAUUACUUAAUAGUCAAAACUUUCAACAACGGAUCUCUUGGUUCUCGCAUCGAUGAAGAACGCAGCGAAAUGCGAUACGUAAUAUGAAUUGCAGAUAUUCGUGAAUCAUCGAAUCUUUGAACGCACAUUGCGCCCUCUGGUAUUCCGGAGGGCAUGCCUGUUUGAGCGUCGUUUCUCCCUCAAACCGCUGGGUUUGGUGUUGAGCAAUACGACUUGGGUUUGCUUGAAAGACGGUAGUGGUAAGGCGGGAUCGCUUUGACAAUGGCUUAGGUCUAACCAAAAACAUUGCUUGCGGCGGUAACGUCCACCACGUAUAUCUUCAAACUUUGACCUCAAAUCAGGUAGGACUACCCGCUGAACUUAAGCAUAUCAAUAAGCGGAGGAA
rnacentral:misc_RNA from 1 species